rnacentral:lncRNA from 1 species
AAGAAAAUAAGUUUGGGGGUGUGGAAUUGUGAAAAACAAAUGUGUUGAAAAAAAAAAGAAAAGUUCAAAUGUGGAAGAAAAAAUGUACUAGGAGAAGGAAAAUAGAGUUCUAUAUAUAGGUCUUAGAAUAAUUAUGUGCUUAGGGUGAUUUGAGCCACAUUAAUAUCCUUUAUCCUACCUUGACCCUAGCCAUACAUUACAAGCUUUAUAAAGUCCUAUUGAUCCCUAGCUUGGUGUUAGUCUACAUCAGUGGAGAGAGAGGUGAAAAGCAAACAUAUGGAGUUCUAAUACUAAUUUGAAAUUUGUGUUGGCAUAAACUCAUCUGGAUAUCUUGAUAUUCUUGGUAAAAGAUUUCACACACACAAGGAAAUCCAUUCGAGAAUGUGCUUGCAUUGGAAUUGAGGCAUGAAUUUAAAUGAUGCCUAUAUUUUUCCUUAGGUUAAUGAUUUAUAGAUGUACUUUUGAGGAAAUUAUAGAGAAUCUUUGAGUUGGUGCACUUUAUCUCUAGUAGUAGUAGUAGUAACUAUAUUUAUUUUAGUUUUAUUAACUGAAUUUGAUUUUCAUAAGUUAGUUUUUUCUUUAUUUUUUGCUCUAGGACUAGUAAAAUAUUAAGUUUGGGGGUGUGAUAACUAUAUGAUAUAGAGUUAUUUGUGCUUAAUUUUGAUAGUAAUUUAGUUUAGUUCCUGUCGUAAUUCAUAGAAUUAGUAAGCUUUAUUUAAUAAUUUUAAAUUAGUUAUUUUAGGUGAGUCAAUCUAAUUUUAGUUAAUUUUAUGCUUAAUUUGGUGUUAAUGUGAUUAAGAUAGGUUGUUGAUGAUUUAUUUAUGCUUUUAUAGGUUUAAUGAAGAAAGAAUUUUAAUGAAAGAAAGAGAGCAAUUUUGAGGUGCAAACUUUUACUGUACAUGUUUCGAUAUUUCAGUAAUAACUCUCUCUACAGAGCUUUAAAUGAAGUGAUUCUUGACCAUUGAAACUUUAAGAGAAAAAGCUCCAACUUUCAUGUUUACCAUUUCACCCAGUUCACCUAGAAGAUGGUUAAAAAUCUUGUUGAAGUUGAAGCACUGUAGUAAUCCUAGAGCAAUUAUGAUUUUUGUUAAUUAAUUAGGCAAGGCUGCGGCCCACAUAGUUUGAUGAGGAAAUCUCAACUGAAAUUGACUUUUUUCUUCACCCAACUUGGCCUAACUUCAAAGCCUUAUAAAAAUAACCUUUGAGGAGAGAACGAAACACUUGAUUGACAGUUGAGAGUCAAGCAGUAAAAUCAUUGAAGCUAAGAAGAAUUUAAAGGAUUCAAGGAGAAUUGGAGAUCAUGAAUACAAUCCUUGGUUUUUUCUAUCUUUUUGUUAUUCUCUUAUUCUCUUGGUUUUGUUUUUAAUGUUUAAACUUUAUCCAAUGAUGAUGUGUGACUUUAUGGGGAACUAAACUUUUUAUCUAAGUUUAUGAUUGAACUUAAUAUGUAGUCUAAUUUAUUUAUAUCUCUUUUACUUAUGUUUGAUGGAUUUAAGUUGUUUAUUUUGUUUUGUUUUUAAUGCUUCUGAUUGACUGGCCACCAAUUAAAUUAAAUUAGAAACCUAGGUUAAACCUUAACCUUGACGAAGGAGAUUUAGGUAGACCUUAAAUAGAAUACGAAUGAUCGAAUGCACUUAGUUGAUUUGCAUAUAGGGUAGACAUACACCUAUAAGCCAUACAUAGCCAAAAUUAGAGCGUGAACUUAAGAAAUAUUUCUUCAAUUUAAUUUGCAUAGACAUAUAAUAAAUUAAUUGGGAGAGGUAUUUUAAUGAGAAGCUCGACAGAGACUUCUAAUUAAUUUAGGACUCUAGGUUAGCAAUUUAAUCCAUUAAACUGAGUUAAGAGAUAAAGAUAAUAAUCAAAUAAAGUAUUGAGGGACAUCAUAAUCUUAGGUUUGGUAGUUAAGUGAGUUUUAUAAAAUAAAUUUACUAUUUAAUUUUAGUUUUAGUUUAUUAGUUUUAAUUUUUCUUUUGAAUAAUUUUAAAUUUAAUUGCUUAGAUAAGAUUAAGGUGCUACAAUUUUAGUAGUUAAUAGUAAGAAUUAAUUCAAUUUUCUUUGAGAUCGACACUCUACUCAUUACUAUAUUAUCUUUGCAAUAUGUAUACUUGCGUGGGUAGAAAAUUGAACAACAAGUUGCUUCCUCCAAUUUUAUCAAAACAAUUAUUGCUUUUCUUGCCAAUCUUGAUUCUUGGGUUAUAGAUUCUAGAGCAAACAAAUAUAAGACAUGCUCUUCCAAUAAGUUCUCAACUUGUUCUCUGUGUUUAGACAAUGAUAAAGUUCAUAUAGUGGAUGGAUCCUUAGCCUUUAUAUUUGGAACAAGUUCUAUUAAAUGUACUCCCACCAUUAAUCUAUCUUCGGUCCUUCAAGUUCCUAAUUUUCUUAUUAACCUUUUAUCAGUUAGUUUAAUUAUAAAAGCCCUUGAUUGCAAAAUUGAAUUCUUUCCUACUCAAAUGUGUUUUACAAGACCUCAAAACAAGGAGAACGAUUGGCUUUGGUAGACUACAAAAUGGCUUGUAUAUACUAGAGGAAGGUUGCAGUACCUUGAUUCCUAGUAUAACUUGAGCCCUAUUAGCAGAAUAUAUGAAUGUUUAAAGAAUGCAAGUUGGAUUUAUUAUUUUGUGAUGCUUAUGAAUUUUCUAAACACACCGGACUUUCUUAUCCUUCGAUUAAUAAUAAGAGUUCAGUUCUAUGACUAUUCAUUUUGAUGUAUGGGGACCUUGUCAAACAGUUUCUCUAUCUGGUCAUAGAUAGUUUGUUACCUUUAUUGAUUGCUGUACUAGAUUAACUUGGGUUUAUUUGAUGAAAGCAGGAAUGAGGUUUUUCUUAUUUUCAACUAUUUCGCAAAAUUAUUUGUACACAAUUUGAUGCCAAGGUUAAGAUUCUGAGAACCGAUAAUGGUACAAAAUACAUGGGUGGUGUGUUUAGUGCAUAUCUAGAUUCCAACGGGAUCUUGCACCAAACUAGUUGUGUGGAAACUAGUGCACACAAUGGAGUGUCUGAGAGGAAGAACAUGCAUUUAUUAUAAGUGGUUUGAUCUCUCAUGUUUACUAUGAAUGUUCUAAAGGUUUGUUGGGGUGAUGCAUUACUUUCAGUCGCAUAUCUUAUUAACAGAAUGCAUUUAAAAACAUUUCAUUUAAAGAGUACUUUAGAAGUUCUACAAGGUAGUAAUUCAUAUACUAUUCUUUCAAAAAUUUUUGGAUGUGUGUGUUUUGUUCAUAAGAGAAAUGUAGGUAAGUUAGAACCUAAGGCCCUUAAAUGUGUGUUUGUUGGCUACUUUGCAACUCAAAAGGGAUAUAAGUGUUCUAAUCCACCCUCAAAAAAGUACUUUGUGAGCAUGAAUGUUACCUUCAGGGAGUCAGAGUCUUACUUUUAUACACUCAAUCACCUCUUCCUGGAAAAAAUAAGGAGGAAGAGGUGGAAGUGAUAUCACCUGCCUUUAUACAAUUUUCUAGUCAAAAUCCUAGUGAGGACAAAGGACAACCUAAAACUGGGAGAUUGGAUAUACUAGAUUUGAAAACCUACACAUGAUGUGACCAGACAGAUGGUUGAAGAAAUGAAGGAUUUGGCAAAAGCUGAGACUUGGGAACUUGUUACUUCCCCAUUGGAAAAAAAACUAGUUGGAUGCAAAUGAGUGUUUAUAGUGAAACAUAAGGCAAAUGGUUCGAUUGAAAGGUAUAACGCUAAACUGGUGGCAAAAGGCUUCACCUAAACCUAUGGGUGGACUAUCAAGAAACUUUUGCUCUUGCAAAAUGAAACUAUCAGAAUCAUGCUCUCCUAUGUAGCUAACUUUGAUUAGGACCUACAACAGUUUGAUAUCAAGAAUGCCUUCCUACAUAAGGACUUGGAGGAAGAGGUGUAUAUGGAAAUUCCUCCAAGAUAUAAUGAUAAGAAGACUAAAGGAAAGAUUAGUAGAUUAAAGAAGGCAUUUUAUGGUUUGAAGCAAUCACCUAGGGCAUGAUUCGAUAGGUUCAGUAAGGCCAUGAUCUCAUUUAGAUAUUGUUAGACAAAUAAGCUCCAAGUAAAGUAACCUAGAGGAGGUGUGUUGGUUAUCAAAUAAAAAUUUCCCCUUUUUAGAUUUUUCAACACAGCUAAAGUAUAAAGAGCAGAGUUAUAAAAACAGAGUAUAAAUUAAGUUGUUGUCAUUUUAAUACAUGCAAGUGGAUGUGGCUGUACAAGUAAUAUAAAGGUAAGUCGAGUAUCGUUUCCCACAAAGAUUUGUACCUAUUCUUACAAAGUACUAAAUUUAUAACAAAAUCUAUCUUAUCUAAGCACUAAAUUUUAAAUGAUUGUUUAAACUAAAAAUGCUCUUUAAAACUAAGUAAAUAAAGAAUAAUAGAAUUUCACUAAAAGAGAUAUUAAUUCAAAAGCCUAGGAUUAGGGUGUCUUUCAAAACUUCACCUGAAUUUAAUCAUUCUCCUUAACUUAGAUUAAUGGGAUAUAUGGCUAACCUAGAAUCCAUAUUAUGUACAAGUCUCUGUUGAGAUCUUGCACACACACCUUUUCAAAACUAAUUCCAUAUGUCUAUGUAAAUUAAUUAGAAAAGGUUCAUUAUGUUUGUUUUCCAAUUUGGCUGCCUAAGGUAUUUUGGUGUAUGUCUAUCCUAAAUACGAAACUAUCACCUAACUUUGAAGUGAAUUGAACAAAAGCUAUUUAAAAUAAUGGUUUAUUCUAAGCUCCGUCUAUUGAGUUCUAUUUAGAGACCCAAUAUUUUAGCAAGUGAUCAAGCAGUGAAAAGCAAUAAGUACAGAAUUGAAUAAACCAUGCAUCAUCCAUUAAUAUUAAGCAAAGAGAAAUCAUAUCUUCAAACUACAUAAUGAAAUAACCCAUAAUCCUAGAAAACAAAUUCAGUUCAUCAUUGUUUUUACAGUAGACAUAAUUAUUUCAAAAGAAAAGAUCAUUGCCAUAGUGAAAGAACUAGAAAGAAUAGAAGAGUGAAGAAAUAUCAAAGCCUAUUUCGAUUCUCGAUCUUCGGUUGCCUUUGAUUUUCUCUUUCUUUUCCCUCAAAAAACUGCUAUUCAUUCACUAUUUGAGCCCCUUCUCUCAACUACUGAAAAUCACCUAUUUAUAGCCUCUAUAAAACCUUAAAAACUCAUGUUUUGAUUGGCUGCAAAUUCAUAAUCCAUGUCAGAGAGCCGUGGCCUUGCUUCAUAGGGGUCAAGGCAUUGCUGAUUUAUAUAUUUUUUUUUCGUGGUUUUUCAACUGGUUCCAUGGCACUCCUCUUAGGGCACUGUGGCACUAGCUUCUCGACAAUUUGUAUGGAAGCAUCACUGCUCCCUUGGGAGCAGUGGCUUUAAGCUUUGCAAGGCUGCAACGCUGCUCUUUGUGCUGCCUUGGUGCUGAAUUACUACAGUUCUUUGUUUGCAAUGCUAUUUUUUCCUACCUCAAGUCUGAUCUGGGUGAAAUGGUAAACAUGAAAGUUGUCGCUAUACCUUUUAGCUUUGCUUUGGCCCAAGAAUCAUGUUCAUUGGAUCUCUGUAGCUGGAGUUAUGUCUGACUUAUAGCAACAUGUUUAGUGCAAAUCUGCACUUAAUCUCCAUUGCAUAGUCCAUCAUUAUUGAACUUUUUACCUUUAAAAACCUACAACCACAAGAACUAAACCAGCAUUGGCUUAAAAUAGGACUUUCAACAUGAAAAUGAGCUAGAAUUACUUGAAUUAACUAAGUUAACAUGCUUUAAAACUAAUUAACUAAAAACCUAAAAACUAUUUAAAAACUACUUAAAACACAAAGACUUAGCUACAUUCACAUCCCAAAAUGUGGCUAAAUAACUCUAUAUAAUGGAGUUAUCACACCCCCAAACUUAAUAUUUUGCUAGUCCUUGAGCAAAAUUAAAAUUAAAAUGUCAAGCCCAGCUCUACAAUAUGUUUAUUAUGCCAUUCUUACAUAAGAAUGUAUGUUUGCUUACUUAGGUACCUCGAAAAUCGUUACAGGAUAACAAUGUACCAAAUGGUACAAUUAAGUUGAAUUAAGCCUCAAACUAGACCAAAUAGAGAUUUUAAAAUGAAAUUGAGAAUUUUAAAACCCCAGUAUGACUUAAAAUGGUGAUUCAGAGUUCGAGGACCGAUUUGGAGUCAAAUUGGAAUUUUCAUGACCUAAGGGUAAAAUGGUCAUUUUGCCACUCGAGGCUAAGAUGUGAGUGUUGGAUGAAAUUUUUCACUAAGAUUGAUCAUUUGGAGUAUAAUUUGAGUUUGAGAAGUGAAAAAUUUUAAUUCAGACAUUUUUUCGAGCAUAGGGGUAAAAUAGUCAUUUUAUCGUCCAAAGGCAAAAUCAAAAUUUUACAUAACCCAACACUUGUCCAGCACAUGGAUUUUACCCAAUAUUAUCAUGGAUAAUUGAGGAAAUUUAAGUGGUGGAGAGAGAUUACUUAAUGGGUAAGUAUGACACAUGGACCAAUGGAAUGGUGACACAUGGUAAAUUUUUGUCCAUUUAAUAUUUUCCUUUAUAAAGCCAAUUUGAACUCUUCCACAUUCAUUCUUAUGGCCAGCCAUAGCAAGGAAAAAGGAAGAAAAGAAGAACAAAAACCCUAGAGUGAAAAUUCAAGAGAAAAUUGGUGGAUUUCAAGUAAUCAAGCCAUCAAAGGUGAAAUUUCUUAACUCUAGCUUGUCAUCUAUCUUUCCUAUGCAUUAUUUUGCAUUUUCUAUGGUUGAAUCACAAGAUAUCAUGAAGGAUAGUGUGCUGAUCAAACCAUAGGAGAGAGAAUUUGAUGAUGAUUUAGAUAGAUUUUUAAGAUAUAUGGAUGUUUUUAGUUGUUUAUGGUGUUAAGUGUAAGCUUGAAAUUCACAUAUUCCUCAUGAGUUCAUCAUUGGCCGAAUCUUCCUUGUAGAGUGUUGAUGGUGGAUUUGAUUUUAUUUCAAGUGAAUUGGUUAGGAAUUAGUGAUUUAUGGUGUGAAAAUCAAGCUUGAAAAAUUAUAGUGUUGAUGCACCCACCAUGGCCGAAUUUUUCAAGAGAAAAUGUGAGGAUGAUUUUGCCAUAUUUCAAGUUAUUUAAUUUGUGUUUGAUGAUUUGGAGUAUUGGGAGAAAAAUGGAGUUAAUUGGAGUUAAAUUGGACAUAUUGGCCAAUUAAUCGAGUGAUAGAUCGAAUUAAGCCAAUACCGUUUUAUUUAGGUACACAAUUGAAUUUGUGUAGAACAUCGUGUUUAGACGAUAAUCCGAACAAUUUGCAUUCCAUUUCAUGCAUUAGUAAAGAGCUUGAAAUAGAUUUAUAAUAAUAUGACACAGUAUAUUGAAUUAUGUGUCGUGUAUUGUAUAUAGGUGGUGAGCCCUUUAACAAGGGUAAAGACGUUGUAUCAGAGGACUGAGAAUAGGAGUAUUUCAAACUCCUGAUACAGUGAGUAACCUUACUAUCAUCUUAAUUAUCUAAAGUGGUUUUUAUCCGAUUUUGUGAUUUUAUGAAAAAUGAGUUUAAAUGGUAAAUCUUUAUGUUUUAUAAGCAAAAUGUUAUUAAAUGAAAUGAUUUUAUAAAAUUGUUUUGAAAUCGAAUGAUGGUUUUGAAAAUGGAGUAAUUGGAGACUAAUUGUUGUGUUAUAAAUCAUGGUUUGAAUUGAAUGGCUUAUGAUAAUAUUUUCAUGAAUGGUUGAAUUAGUAAAUGUGCUGAAAAUAUAUGAACUAUUGAUUUGCCUUGAGAGGCUGUAAAAUAAAAUAAUUGCCAUGUCAUGCUAUCACAAAUUUUAUUGAAUUGGUGGGUUAAAAAUUGGUCGCUGUAGUGGACGGGUUCCGUGGACCAGCCUAUUAGAGGGGCAUGGUAACCCUAUUAUAUUCAUACCUUAGUAUGAGAGGUGCGGUUGGAUAACUCCUGAGGUUAAAACUUUAGAGUUCACUUCAUGCCAAACCACCAUGUGAGGGUGAACUCAGCCAACGCCAAGGAACGACUAUGUUUUCAAAAUAAAAAAACAUGAUUUAUGCGUACAUGUAUUUUUAACAACCUUGGCAGACUCGGUUAGGAUAGCCCUCGGCCAAGGUAUCCCUGAUAACUGAGUAUGAGAAUGAUUUUGGCACGAGCCAAAGUUUUAAGAAAUUCAUAAGCCAUGUUGAUUACUCGAUUUAUAUGAAUUGAUUUUAUUUGGUUGAAAUGAGUUGAAAAGUGAUAAAUUACAAUAUGUUAAAUUAUUUUGUUUGUCUCAAUUUACUCAGGUUUAGAUAUUUUAGAUGGUAUUUGUUUACUCACUGGGAUUAUAUAAUCUCACAACCCUCCUUUCCACCCCUUUCAGGCUCAAGAUAGUCGAUAGAUAGCUCACUUUGUUGAGGGCUACAGUUGGACUUGCAUCCUCAAAAACUGUAGGUUUAUCGCUUUUGAUACUUUUAGUGGUUCGUGGGCCCAUGUGUCACUGUAAAUUAAAUCUUAUGCUUUGGUUAUCUGUAUUAUAAUAUGUAUGAAUUUAUUUAGCUUUUACAGUACAAAAAUUAUUUACCGGUAACUCUGUAAAUAUUAUUUUAUAAGAAAAUAGAAUAUUUUAUUGAAUAUUUUUAUUAUAUUCAAAUAGUUAUAAUUUCACUUUAAAUGAAUGUUUUAGAUAUCUAAACUUAUUUUUGAUUAUGAAAUAUGUGUUUUCCACUCGCAUACUAUAUUUUAGCUGGUUUCAAAAUUUUUGGGGAAAAAUGACCAAAAUGCCCCUGUAAGAUAGAAAUCAUUUUUUUUAUUGAUUUAAGUUGGAAAUAGCUUAAAAUCUUUUAGAACAUGAUAUUUGGUAACGGUUACUCACAUGGGAAAUGAGAAACUGAUAUUAAAUCCUUGCGGGGUUCCGAUUGACAUUUCUGCUAAUGAGUGUAGAUCGGGACACCGCGGCGGUUGUCACGGGCUCGAGAGGAGUACCGGGUCGUGACAUAAAAUUAAGAAAGCAUAGUUGAAAACACCAUGCAAGGAGAUUUCACCAAUUCAUUGAUCACCCCUAAUUUUCCUCAUAAAUUGCCUUAUCUUCCUAACUCCAAACAACAAAUGGAUAUUAUCUAAGUUCAUAUUUCAUCCAAAUGCAUGCUCAUUUUUCUAUUGGGUUUCCAUGAGUGUAUGUAGUUUUUUACAAUGAACAUCAUGCACUUCGGGAAAGAUUAUGUUCAUGCAAAUCUCAACAAGCUUAGAAUUUCAUAUGUUCUUUUUUCAUCUCCCUCUCCAUUAAUGUAGGCCAUCACUUAGCUAUGGAUCCUUAGGACUUUAUUUAGCUUAUAAUGUUUGGCUAGGUUAAGGUGUGAUAUAGGAUAUUAAGGCUCAAAUCACCCUAAGCAUAUAAUUAUUCUAGGAUCUAUGUAGCCUUAUCUUCCUUCACAAAGUACACCUUUCUCUUUCUUUUCACUUUUCAUUAAUCAACCAUUUUUUUAAUUCAAAAUUCAACAUCCCCUCAAACUUGUUUUUGUCAAUGUUAGUAAAAUGAAUGCUUCACAUAAUAGUUGGAAUUUUUCUCAACUCAUCUUUUCUACCUUUUCAACUAUUGAUCCAUAUAUAAUUCCUAAAACAAUGUACAUGCUUAGGAGUGAGGGUAGUGGAAUUGAAAAUUUAUUUACAAGCUAGGAUAAUUUAUUUAUAGUUGACAAAGAAAAGAAUAAAUUUAGGCUCAAAGGGGUGUAUUAGGGAUAGAAUUCGACUAGGUUAGCUCAAAAGACCCAAUUAACCCAAAGGUGGCCUAAGUCAUUUCCUAGUUAAGUGUAAUCUAGAAUUUUGCCUUAAGAAAAGAUCAAAUAAAUUCUAAAAUUCUAAACGUAGUUUAAAGAUUCACACUCACAUAAUCGUUCUUUAAAUGUUGAUCUUUGACUUUUUUACUUGACUAGUGCCCUCACAACAGUUUUCUAAAGUCUCUUAAAUCUCUUUUGCUAAGGAACACAUAGCUACCCAAUUGAAUUCAUCUUCACUAAAGCACAUAGAAUAGCUAUUAUAGCUUUGUGAUUUAGCUAUAUCAUAUUUUUAUCUUUAUCAUCCCAUUUAGCUUUAGUUUUAAGGUGUUUCACACCAUCCACAAUUUUUGUAGGAAUAUGAGGUCUACCAACAAUAAUAUCCUAAAGAUCUAAAUCAAUAACUCGGAUAAAAUUUUCAAAUCUCAUUUUUCAGAAUGGGUAGUUCUCUUUUUUUAACAAAAAAAGGCUGCAUCAUAGAUUGUCCUUCACUAAUGACGCUUGAGAAUGAUGCCAUGGUUGUUACUUUUAGCAUUUUAUUUCGGAUCUCUCAAAGGUGGUUAAACCUGCAUUGAACAUGAGAACUUACUUUGAUUCUAAUUGUUAGAAAAAGAUAAGCUUAAAGUAGAACUACUAAGAGGGGGGUGAAUUGGUUGUUAAGUAAAAAUUCCUUUUUUUUUCAAAAAUCAGUUCAACUUUCAAAGAUUAAAACAAUAAAACAGAGUAUAAAUUAAAUAAGUAAAGAACAGUAAAUAAAGAAAGGGCACAACAAAAUUUUUAUAGACGUUCGGCCUUCCAUUGCCUACAUCCUUUCCCUUAAUAGCACAAGAAAUUUGAAUAUAUUAUCAACUUGCCUUUUUAAUAGUAUCAGACGCAACCUUUACAACGUGCCUUUUGUAGGAUCAGGCAUCAACUCUAGAACUUGUCUUUUCCUAUAUCAGACGUAACCUCUACCAAGAUGCUGCUUUUUCCAAUUAAAGUGCAACCUUUACAUAAGAGAAAGCCUUUUAAAGGAUCAGGAAAAACCUAUCAAGCCUAGCCCUAAAUUAUUUACCAUGUUACACAUGAGACUGAUAGAGUGAUUGUAUAUUUGAACAGCCCCGGAAGAAUAUUUAAAAGUCGGUAUUGUGCUUAGAAGUACAAGUAGGUCGAUUAUACCUCGAACUAAUUAAAAUAGCGAUUUUAAGGUGAAAUUAAGAGUUUCAUAGUCCAGGGAUGACUCAAAAUGGUAAUUCGAAGUUCGAGUAUCAAUUUGGAGUCAAACCGAAAUUUUCACUAUCUAGAGGCAAAAUGGUCAUUUGCCACUUGGGGACAAAAUGGGAAUUUUUAGAAAAGCUUUUAUUGGCCCCAUUUGACUUAUUGGAGUAUGAUUUGAGGUUUAGAAGUGAAAAAUAUUAAUUCUGGUAUAAUUUGGAGUAUAGGGGCAAAAUGGUAUUUUUAUCACCCCGGGGGUAAAUCGGUAAAUUUUCACCCUCGACACUUGUCAAGACCAAGGGAUUUUAUUCAUCAUGAAAAUGGAUAAACAUGAGAAAUGUGUGGUGGAGAAUUAAAGAAUUAAAAGUCAAAUAUUUAAAAUUUGAACCAAUAAGGAAAUGCCAUGUGUCAUGCUUUUAUUAUUUUAUUGUUUCUUUAUAAAAAGGCAUAAAAAUCAGCCCAUUUCUUUAAUAUGGCCGGCCAAACCAAGAGCAAAGAAGAACAAAGGGAGAAAAGGAAAACAAAAACCCUAGGUGAAGAAAUUCAAGAGAAAAUUGGUGAAAAUUCAAGGAAACAAGUGACAAAAGGUAAAAUUUCUUGAUUUUGACUUGUGAUCUACCUUUCCCAUGCAUUUCUACUCAUUUUCCAUGGUUAAAUUACAUGUUUUCAUGAUGAAUUCAUGGAUGGUUGGAAUGGGUAUGGAGAGAGAAUGAUGUAAGAUUGAUUUGAUUCUAAGUUAUGUUAGUGUUUUUAAUUAGUUAAGCAUGUUUAGAAACAAAACAACUAGAAAAAAAUCUAUUUUCCCCAUGAACCUUCAAUGGCCGAACCCUAUGUGAAGUGUAGAAGUAAUGAAUUGAUUUUGUGAUCAAGUGAAUUGGUUGAAAAAUUGAUGAAAUGAUGAUUUAUGGUGAGAAAAUGGAAUGGAAAAAUUUUUAGUGAUAGUGCACCACAAUGGCUGAAAUUUUCAAGAGGAAUUGUGAGGGUUGUUAGGCUGAAUUUUAGAUUAUUGAAAUUGUAUUUAGUGAAUUGAAAUAUUAGAAAUGAAAUGGAGCAAUUUGGAGCCAAAUCGGACACAAUUGUCAUUUAAUCGGGUAAUAGGCUGAAUUAGGUCAGCACCGCAUUUAAGCGGCAGUCGGAUAAGUUGCAUAUCAUAUCAUGCAUAUACACCGAGCCUGAAUUGAUUUUAUAAUGGUCAAGCAUUGAUGUGGUGAAUUAUGCAUUGUACAUUGUGGAUAGGUGGUGAGUAAAUUACACUGGUAAAAGUACAGAGAUUGUGCUUGGAGACUGGAAUUAGGAGUACAUCAACUCCUAGAACUGUGAGUGAACUUAUUAUCGUCUUAAUUAUCUAGAGUAGUUUAAUACAAUUGUGUGAUUUUAUGAAAAAUGAGUUUAAAUGGUUAAUUGCUAUGUUUUAGGAGAAAUUGUGAUUUUAUAAAAAUAUUUUAUAAAUUUUUUGGAAAAUUGAAUACUGGUUUUGAAAAUAGAGUAAUUGGAGACUGCCUGCUUGUGUUGUAAAUUUAUGGUUUUAAAUUGAAUGGCUUAUGACAAUAUAUGAGCAUGAAUGGCUAAACUGAUUUUUGUUGUUAGAAUUAUUUGUAUUGUGUAUUUAGCCUUGAGAGGCUAGGUUGCGAUAAAUUGUCAUGUCAUGCAGAAAAAGAUUUUAUAAAUCAAGUGGUAGAUAAUCCAUAGUCACUGUAGUGGUGGGGGUUUCCGUGGACUGCUUAUGAGAGGGGCACGGUAACUCAAUUAUAUAUUUACCUCCGGAGGGAGAUGUUGGAUGACGUACCUCCUGAGGUAAAUAUUUGAGUGCACUUCACGUGGACCACCGCGUGAGAGUGAGACUCAGCCAAUGCCAAGGCAUGGCUAAAAUUUCGGAUGUAAAGACAUUUAAUAGCCUUGGCAGACUCGAUUGGGAUAACCCUCGAUCAAGGUAUCCCUGAUAACUGAGUAUGAAAAUGAUUUUUGGCACGAGCCAAGCUUUUUAGGAAAUCAUAAGCCUAUUUGUUUAUUUGGUUGAAACGAGUUGAAAGGUAAUGAAAUUACAGUAUGAUGACUUAUUUUAAUUCAUCUCCAUUUACUCACCUUUAGAUAGUUUAGAUGGUGUCUGUUUACUCACUGGAAUUUUAUAAUCUCACCACCCUCAUUUCCUCACAUUUCAGGCUCGGAGAAUUCCAUAGUUAGUUGACUUUGACAAAGACCUUCAUUUGGACUUGAAUAAGCAAAAGCUGUAAGUUUUCAGCUUCAGAUGCAUUUUGGUUAGAUGUGGGCCCAUGUGUCACUGUAAAAGUAAUUUAUGCUUUGGCUAUUCGCUUUAUAGUAUAUAUGAAUAUAAUUAACUUUUACGCUAUAAGAAUUAUUUACCGAUAGCUUUAUAAAAAUUAUUUUACUAGAAAAUAGUUUAUUUUAUUGAAUAUUUUUAUUAUAUUCAAAUGGUCAAAUUUUCACUUCAAAUGAACGUUUUAGAUACUUAAUUUGUUUUUAAAUCACUAAAUAUAUAUUUUCUGCUUACCUACUACAUUUUUAGCAAGUUUUGAGAUUUUUGACGAAAAAUGACGAAAAUNNNNNNNNNNNNNNNNNNNNNNNNNNNNNNNNNNNNNNNNNNNNNNNNNNNNNNNNNNNNNNNNNNNNNNNNNNNNNNNNNNNNNNNNNNNNNNNNNNNNNNNNNNNNNNNNNNNNNNNNNNNNNNNNNNNNNNNNNNNNNNNNNNNNNNNNNNNNNNNNNNNNNNNNNNNNNNNNNNNNNNNNNNNNNNNNNNNNNNNNNNNNNNNNNNNNNNNNNNNNNNNNNNNNNNNNNNNNNNNNNNNNNNNNNNNNNNNNNNNNNNNNNNNNNNNNNNNNNNNNNNNNNNNNNNNNNNNNNNNNNNNNNNNNNNNNNNNNNNNNNNNNNNNNNNNNNNNNNNNNNNNNNNNNNNNNNNNNNNNNNNNNNNNNNNNNNNNNNNNNNNNNNNNNNNNNNNNNNNNNNNNNNNNNNNNNNNNNNNNNNNNNNNNNNNNNNNNNNNNNNNNNNNNNNNNNNNNNNNNNNNNNNNNNNNNNNNNNNNNNNNNNNNNNNNNNNNNNNNNNNNNNNNNNNNNNNNNNNNNNNNNNNNNNNNNNNNNNNNNNNNNNNNNNNNNNNNNNNNNNNNNNNNNNNNNNNNNNNNNNNNNNNNNNNNNNNNNNNNNNNNNNNNNAAAAAUGACCAAAAAUACCCUUGGUGAGACGAAAAAUUAAUAUUUUAUUUGUUUAAAGUUGGAAACAGCUUAAAAUCUUUUAGAAAACGAUAUUUGACAAUGGUUGCUCACAAAGGAAUAGAGAAACUGAUAGUAAAGCCUUUGCGAGGUUUCGGGUUGACAUUUCGGGCAAUAAGUGUCUACCGGGACACCGCAGCGGUUGUCACGGGCUCUAGGGGAGUACCGAGUCGUGACAAUAAUCAAGUCAUUUCUUUUGCAAACUUGAUCCUUGGGCUGGCACAUAUAAUUUUGAAAACAAUAGACUAUUGAGAAAAUCAAAAGCUUGAUCAUCCAUAUUAAAAGUAUGUUCAAACAAUUAAAGCAUUUCAAUAUAUUUUUCUAUUUAGGUCAAUUUUAACGUUCUUUGAAGAUUUUUAUUCAUACUAAAAAAUGUCUUUCAUUUUCAAAGCUCAUUAAGUUCAAUCAAUUUUGUCAUGUGAAAACAAGAAUAAAGUGAACAAAAAGCAAUCUAGCAAUGCCUUUAGUGUUGAAAAAUGACAAAAAAAAAACAUUUAAAGAUGCUUUCUAUCAAAAGUUGGUUGAGCAAAGUCUUUGCCAACCAUGUCUUGCAUUCUAGUUCAUAUAGUUAAAACAUAGACUAGAAACAACCCGUGGUGUGCACACGGACAACAGCAGCACUAGUUAGUAAUGAUAUAACAUUUGUGCUAAAUUUGUUAUUAUGAAUUUCUCUAUUUAAUUGAGAAAACUCUUGGUGGUGUUUGGUAUUAGGGAUGUGCACCUACAUUUCCUACAAUAUGCCUAAUUAAAUUACAUUGCCGCGUUUAUUUUGAAACAAGCCAAUGCAAUGUAAGAUCUUCUUUCCCAAAAUACCAUGAACUCCUUGAUUGCUGAAAUCGACAACUACUUCGACAGUAAGAUCAAAAAGUUAUAGCAUGAAAGAGAAGAAGAUGAAUCAGUUUAAGAAAAAGUUUGAUUAGAUAGUUGAUCCUUAAGUCAAUCCAUUAAAAGACAUAUAUCAUUUUGUGGAACAAAUUUAUUGUAACUCUUAAAACAUCUAAACUUUUAAUUUUAUCAAGUGACUUUCGCAUACAUUCAUUCACAUAUUUUUUUAUAUCUAUUGAUUGACAUGGUUGACAACUUUCUAUGCUUUAUCCUUAAGUGUUAAUUGAUGAUUAAUGGAACUUACAUGAAAUGCCCCAUACUUUGAUAUGGUGAUAAAUAAGUUAGUCGGAUGCGAAUUGAGGCAUAAUAAGGAACUUUUGGAAUCAAAAAGACAAGAUAAAAUUUUUAGAAUAAAACAAUAUUUUAUUAAUGAAAUAAUAUUAAAAUAUUAAUAUUUAGACGGAUGUCGAAAUCAGUCAUGAAGAAGGAUCAUAUGCUUGAUCCAAGUGGGGGAGAAACUGUCAAGCCUGACUCUGUAAAAUACUUGUCACGACAUGCAUGUGAUUGACUGAAUGUUUACAUACUACGAGAGCCUCGAAAAAUCGACAAAAGUCGGUACUGUACCUAGAGGUACAACAAAGUUGAUUUAAGCCUUGAACUAGAUCAAAUACAAAAUUUAAGAGGAAAUUAAGAAUUUUAAAGUCCCAGAAUGGUUUAAUAUGGUGAUUUAGAGUUCGAGGAUCAAUUUGGAGUCAAAUUGGAAAUUUCACUAUCUAGGGGCAAAAUGGUAAUUUUGCCACUCGAGGACAAAAUGGGGAAUUUUUUUUCAAAGAUUUUGAUCAUAUUUGACUUAUUGGAGUGUGAUUUGAGGUUGAGAAGUGAAAAUUUGUAAUUUUGGUAUUUUUCGAAGUAUAGGGGUAAAAUGAUAAUUUUACCACCCCAGGGGCAAAACAGUAAUUUUUCACCACCAAAACACUUGUCCAGCAUAUGGAUUUUAUGCAAUUUUAUCAUGGAUAAUUGAAGGAAUUUAUAUGGUGGAGAGAGAAAGCUUAAUAGUUAAGAAAUAAAAAUGGACCAAUGAAAUGGUGACACAUGGCAUAUUUAUAACCAUUAAAUAUUUAGCUUUAAAAUUAAUACAAAAUCAGCCCAUUUCUCAUUGAUAUGGCCGGCCAAAGAAGAACAAAGGAGGAAAGGAAAAAAAAACAAGAACCCUAGGUGGGAAAAUUGAAGAAAAAGUGUGGGAUUUCAAGGGAUUAAGCUAAUAAAGGUAAAAUUUAUUGAUUUUGACUUGUGAUUUACACUACCCAUGCUUUCUUUUUCAUUUUCCAUGGUUAGAUUUCAUGUUUUCAUGGUGAAUUCAUGGCUGGUUGGAAUGGGUAUGGAGAGAGAAUGAAGUUGGAUUGAUUUGAUUCUAAGUUAUGUUAGUGUUUUUAGUUAGUUUAUCAUGUCUAGAAACAAACCAACAAGAAAAAUUCAUUUUCUCCCAUUACCCAUCAUUGGCCGAAUUUUCUAGGGAGGAUAUUGUGGCUGAAAUUGAUGAUAUUUCAUGAUAUUUUGGUGAUAUUUGAUGUUUGGUGAGGCUAGAAAUUAAAUGGGAAAUUUUGGUGUGAAAAUUCAAAUUUUUGAUUAACGUAUAGACAUGUGUGAUUAUUGACUCGGGACUGAUAAAUUGAAUCUCAUUCACAGUCACUGAGGUAAUUUAGGUAUAAUUGGAGUGUAGAAAGUGAGAAGAAUUGAUUUGGAGUUAAAUUGGAGAUUUUAGCCGAUUAGACCCAGUAUAGUGUGACUUAGGUCGAAUAUCACAUUUAAGUGAUUAAUCAGACAUUUUGCAUCCCAUCGCAUGCAUUCAUUUGGAUUUAAAGAGCCUGAAAUAGUUUAUGAUAAAUUGACACAGUUUAUUGAAAUUCGUGUCACGUGUGAUGUAUAGGUGGUGAGCCCUCUAACAAGGGUAAAGAGAUUGUGCCCGAAUACCGGGAAUAAAAGUAUAUCAAACUCCUAGUACAGUGAGUAACCUUACUGUCGUCUUAAUUAUCUAGAGUGGUUUUUAUUCGAUUUUGUGGAUUUUAUGGAAAUGAGUUUAAAUGGUAAAUCUUUUUGUUUUACAAACAAAACGUGUUUAAAUUAAAUGAUUUUAUAAAUUGUCUUGAAAUUAAAUGAUGACUUUGAAAAUAGAGUAACUGGAGACCACUUGAGGUGUUGUAAAUUCAUGGUUUGAAUUGACUGGCUUAUAACAAUAUUUGCAUGAAUGGUUGAAUUGGUAUUUAUGUUGAAAUAUAUGAACUGUGUAUUUAGCCUUGAAAGGCUGUGAAUUAUAAUAAUUACCAUAUCAUGUUAUUGAAUUUUAUUGAUUGGUGGGAUAAUGAUGAGCUUACUGUAGUGGGCGGGUUUUCGUGGACCAACCUAUUAGAAGGGCACGGUAAACCCCGUUAUAUCUUACCUCAGUAUGAGAGGCGCGAGUGGAUAACUCCUGAGGCUGACACUUUUAGAGUUCACUUCACGCCAAACCACCACAUGAGGGUGAACUCAGCCAACGCCAAUGAACGGCUAUGUUUUCAAAAUAAAAACAUAAUUUAUGUGUACAUGACUUUUUAACAGCCUUUGCGGACUCGGUUGGGAUAGCCCUCGAUCAAGGCAUCCCUAAUAACUGAGUAUGAGAAUGAUUUUUGGCACGAGUCAAGCUUUUCAGGAAAUCAUAGGCCUAGUUGUUUAUUUGGUUGAAAUAAGUUGAAAGGUAAUGAAAUUACAGUAUGAUGAUUUAUUUUAAUUGCCUCCAUUUACUCGGCUUUAGAUAUUUUAGAUGGUAUUUGUUUACUCACUGGGAUUAUAUAAUCUCAUCACCCUCCUUUCCACCCAUUUCAAGCUCAGGAUAGUGUGUAGAUAGCUGAUAUCGUCAAAGGCUAUGGUCGGCUUUACUACUCCAAAAAUUAUUGGUUUACUGCCUUUGUGCACUUUUGUUCCUUGUGGGCCCACAAGUCACUGUAAAGUAAAUUUCAUAUCCCGGUUAUCUGUAUUGUAGUACGUAUGAAUUUAUUUAGCUUAUACAUUCCAAAAAAAAUUAAUUAUCGAUGACUCUAUAAAUAUUGUUUUACAAGAAAUUAGAAUAUUUUAUUGAAUAUUUUUAUUUUAUUCAAAUAGUUGCAAUAUCAUUUUUAAUAAAUGUUUUAGACAUUCAAAUUUAUUUUAAAUAAUGAAAUAUGUGUUUUCCACUCAUCUACUACAUUUUUAGUCGGGUUCGAAAAAUUUUGAGGAAAAAUGACAAAAACGGCCUUAUGAGGCGAAAAUUAUUUCUCCACGAUUUUGAAAGGGAAAAAGCUUAAAAUUCUUUAAAAACGAGGUUUCGCGAUGAUUACUCACAGGGGAGCUGAGAAAAAUGGUACUAAAGCCUUACGAGAUUCCGGUUGGCACUUCGGGUAACAAAUGUCUACUAGGACGUCGUGGCGGUUGUCACGGGCCCAAAGGGAGUACCGGGUCAUGACAAUUUUAUUGGUAUCAGAGCUUUUGAUUUUAAAGAUAAGAGUUUUUGGUUUAAAAGUUAUUUGAAAAGCUAUAGUCCCAGUGUGGCCCAAGUUAAGUUAAGUUAAGUUAGGUUUGAUAGAAUAGAAUACGCGCAUCUGCAUAUAGAAUUUGGAGUUGUUUAGACUCGUUUUAUUUCUUCUUAUAGAUCUUAUGGGAGCAUAAGUCAUAGACAAGGAGCUAUAUGAACUCCUGUUCCUAGUAAUCCACUUCUUUGUUAAUGUCAUGGAAAGGUCAUAAGUAGGGUCGUUGUUCGAGUUUAAGAUGUUACCCGUGACACGAGCCAGUGUUAGAGAGAUCUUAAAAUGAAUGCUCUUAAUGAAAAAUUAAUGAAAUGAUAUAUCCCUCUGAUUAAGGAUGGAGAAAUUUGGAGUUGGACUAAUAGGCCGUGAUAAUUUAUUCAUUUGGUGGAGUUAUAAUUGAACUCAUGGUUGUCAAUCAGAAAAAGAUUUGGGGACUAUGAGAUUUCAAGAAUUGAUUGGACCUAUUAUAGUUCAUGGAUAUAAGCACAUGAAUUAACUCAAGAGUGAGUAUCAAUGAUUACUAUAAUUGAUGUGUGGUCAUGAAGUAAGAAGUUAGUAAACAAAUCUGUUCUAAGGAUGAGCUUGAACUUAGCUGUGCAUAGAAAAAGAGGGAGCCAAUGGAUUAAAGGACUAAAUAUGGAAUUGGUAGCUUGAGGUUAAAUGACUUGGAAAUGUCGAAUCUAUUCUAAGUGCCAUAUGAAGUUCUAUAAUUGAGACUGAUUACGAAUUACUUGAAAGAUCAAUUUAAAAGUUUAUUUUGUUCAAAGUGUGGUCUAUGAUACGAAUGAUCAGUCUUGAAGGUGAUCUCCCCAGAGUAAGGAAUUUUGAAAUGUGGAUGCUUGGAUAUACUCUAAGAGAGAGAACUUCUGCAUCCUACGUUUAAGACAACUUUGAUCUUAUGAUCGCAAAGGCAAGGUGUAAUAACUAAGUAAAUUUUUCGCUUAACAAAUGUGAUUGGUUAUUGAUGGAUAAAGUCAAGAUCUUAACAUUUAGUGGUGUACAAUUUGAUAAUUAUGUAUUUAAGAGUUAAUUGGAGACAAUUCCUUUAUUAAAUUUGCACUAAAUGCUAUGGUAAAGGCAUAUCAAUGUUAAUAUGGAAAUGUAUCCAGAAAUGAUCUUAACAUAUCACCAAAGGAGAAUUAAACAUGUUGAAAUUAAUGUUCUAAUAGUGUGCAUACGAUCGAAAGCUAGUUUGUAAGUUGUAGUUUUCAUGAUCAUGAAAUAUAUAAAGAUUAUCAAUAUAUGGACAUAUACUUGGAGUUGUAAUUUACAAGUUUGGAGUAUUUAAGAUAUGAUUAAAUGGAAUUGGCAUUAGUUAAGGUAUGUAAAUCUUCUAAUUAAAUUCUGUGGAGUAUGCAUGAUAGUAGAAUGGAGGAAUAUAGUGUCAUGAUACUAUAUGGUGAAGUUACUAUAUAAUAUGGAAAGAGUGUUCUAAAGUGAGAUUUAUUGACUGAUGAUAAGUGAUGGGCAAUCUGAGAUACAUGUAGCUAUGAAUAAAUUUGGAGAUUUUUACUUGAGCAAACUCGUACUAAAUGUUAUGGUAAAGAUAUAUGAAUGUUAGUGGCAAAAUAAAUACGUUAAAUCAAUGUUCUGAUCGCACAUUUGUGAUAGAAAAUUAGUCUUGGUAAUUGUGGUAUAGACUUAAAGGGAAGCCACACGAUUGUGAAUAAUUGAGGUAGUAGCUUUAAAGGUGGAAGAGUUGCUGGGAUAAAGUGAAUUUAAAUAGUUGCAACACCACAGUACUGACUAUCAAACUCUGUCACGUUAAGAACCCUUAAUGGCUAGAAAGCAAGAGUAAACUGUAAGCGACAUAAAGAUGAAGCUCACGAGUUGAAAUAUGGUUAUUGGUUUUGAUGUUAAGCUUUGUUGUUGGAGUCUUAAGUUCAUUAGGGAGGUACUAAGAUAAAGAUGAUGAGUGAAAUUAUAGAGUUUCUUUAUUGCCUUAUAUAUGGGCAUGUAAGAGAAAGAAAAGUUAGAGAGUUUUUGAUAUGGCUACAUAAAAAAAUAAAUUAACAUGUGGAGUGUUAAAAGGAAUAAUAUGUUGACUAAAGCCAAAUCUUAAGAAAUAAAGUGAAUCUUGUAAAAGGUUAAAGAGGAAUUGAGGGAACGGUUAGAUGAAUAUAUGAGAUGUUGAUAAGAGAUGUCAAUACCAAGUGAUGAAAGUGUGAAUGGCGAUUUCAAGAAUGAUAUAGCAAAUGAGUUUAUAUAGAAUAUUGUUAUGAGAAUGUACUAAUCUUGUCUUGACUUUGUUGAAAAGAAAAGAUUAGUGACAACACAAGUAAAUUACGGGGUAUGAUAGAAAGCCUUGGAGAUAAGUUGAAGCAUGAGUAGUUGGGCAUGCCUUUAUGGAAAUGAUAUACUUGGAGUAUGAAAGAGUAAAUAAGUGAUUAAGUGUUUCAAGAAUAUUUAAACAUCUUUGAGGAAGACUUAUAAAAUUAUACGAGAUUAGUAUGAGAUGUGUGAUUUUGAAAUUUGCUAAGGAGCCAAAUGGCUAAGUCACAAGUUAAUUGAUCAUAUGCUGUGAGGCAUAAGUCUAAGGUAGAUAUUCCCAAGGAAAUACUCAAGAAGAGUUUUGCUACGGAUUUUAUAGAAGCUAGCAUUAAAUUAUGUAGCUGUAAAGAGGAAGCCCUAAGUUGGAAGUGAAAUUCGUAUUGACAUUGAAAAGUACAUAGAAGAACCUUAUUUCAAGUCUUACAGUUUUAAGUACAAACUGCAUAUUGGUCUAGGGAGAAUGAUAUCACAUUAGUAUGGAAGAACAGAAUAAAGGAUGAAUGAAGAUAAUUUGGAUAAUGAAGCUUGAUAAUGAAAAUUUCCUAAGGUAAUAUGAAAAUUGGAGUUUGAAAAUGCAUAAGGCAUGCAUGAUUCGAAACAAUCUAAGUUUUUAAGAGACAUUUAGUAGGUGAGAUGUGAUUAAUGACAUUGUGAUGUGAGGAUAUAGCAUGAUAAAACUCAAGCAUAUGGUUGGAAAUGAUAUAAGUGAUAUGAAGUUAUACGCAAGUAUAAUAAGAAGGUUGACAUGCACUAUAAGAAUUAUUAUAUUGAAACUAGGAUUGGGAUGUGGAUGAAUAAAGGGGAAUGUAGUCCAAGGCAUGUGAACACAUGGAUCCCUAUACAUAAUGAGAGAUGUUGACAUUUGAAAAUGCAUGUACAUAUGUAUAUAUGAAAUUGAUAAUUUGACUAACUAAGGUGAAAAAUUGUUCUCAGUAAUUGGGAGAUUUUGAAAUAAUGUCCAGAGCGGUCAGUGAGCUAAAGUGUCAUCGGGCAUGCAAUAAACGAUUAAAGUUAUGAGUGACUUUGAAGGUAAACCUUGAAUUGUUUACGUUCUUAAUGGAACUCUAUUAAAGGAAGGGUAUGGACCAAUAUAAGAUGAAUGAAUUAAGGUUGAGAAAUUUGGCAUGGAGCAAAUUAAUAAAAUGAUGAUUAGGUAUACAUAAGUAAGAAUGAUAUGUGAUCGAAAUCGGUAUAAUUGAGAUGAAGUUAUGGUUCAAAUUUAAUAAGGGUGAUAAAGGUAUGCUUAGUGACUCGAUAUAAAAAAUCAUGAUUGUGAAAGGUAUUGCUGAUCUGGCUUCAAAGGAUGAUAAUUGCCAUAAAUAAAGCAUUUAAUUGAACUGAAGGUGAACGAGGUAAAUAAAUUGAAUGUCCCUAUAGAAGGAAAAAGGAAUAGGAUCAUAGAAGGAGAUUGAUAACGUAACAUCGACGUGAAUUCGAGGACGAAUUCUAUUUAAGUGGGGGAGAUUGAAAUGCCCCAUACUUUGAUAUGGAGAUAAAUAAAGUUGGUCGGAUGUGAAUUGAGGCAUAAUAAGGAACUUUGGGAACCAAGGAGAUAAGAUAAAAUUUUUAGAAUAAAAUAAUAUUAAAAUAUUAAUAUUUAGUCGAAUGUCGAAGUCAGUCAUGAAGAAGGAUCAUAUGGUUGAUCCAAGUGGGGGAGAAGAUGUCAAGCCUGACUUUGUAAAAUACUUGUCAUGACAUGCAUGUGAUUGACUGAAUGUUUACAUAUUAGGAGAGCCCCAAAAAAUCGACAAAAGUCGGUAUUGUACCUAGAGGUACAAUAAAGUUGAUUUAAGCCUCAAACUAGAUCAAAUAGAGAAUUUAAGAGGAAAUUAAGAAUUUUAAAGUCCCAGAAUGGUUUAAUAUGGUGAUUUGGAGUUCGAGAAUCAAUUUGGAGUCAAAUCGAAAAUUUCACUAUCUAGGGGUAAAAUGGUAAUUUUUCCACUGGAGGACAAAAUGGGAAAGUUUUUUCAAAGAUUUUGAUCAUAUUUGACUUAUUGGAGUGUGAUUUGAGGUUGAGAAGUGAAAAUUUGUAAUUUUUGUAUUUUUUAGAGAACAAGGGUAAAAUGGUAAUUUUACCACCCUAUGGGCAAAACAGUAAUUUUUCACCACCAGAACACUUGUCCAGCAUAUGAUUUUUAUCCAAAUUUAUCAUGGAUAAUUGAAGGAAUUUAUAUGGUGGAGAGAGAAAGCUUAAUAGAUAAGAAAUAAAAAUGGACCAAUGAAAUGGUGACACAUGGCAUAUUUAUAACCAUUAAAUAUUUAGCUUUAAAAUUAAUACAAAAUCAGCCCAUUUCUCAUUGAUAUGGCCGGCCAAAGAAGAACAAAGGAGGAAAGGAAAAAAAAACAAGAACCCUAGGUGGGAAAAUUGAAGAAAAAGUGUGGAAUUUCAAGGGAUUAAGCUAAUAAAGGUAAAAUUUCUUGAUUUUGACUUGUGAUUUACACUACCCAUGCUUUCUUUUUCAUUUUCCAUGGUUAGAUUUCAUGUUUUCAUGGUGAAUUCAUGGCUGGUUGGAAUGGGUAUGGAGAGAGAAUGAAGUUGGAUUGAUUUGAUUCUAAGUUAUGUUAGUGUUUUUAGUUAGUUUAUCAUGUCUAGAAAUAAACCAACAAGAAAAAUUCAGUUUCUCCCAUUACCCAUCAUUGGCCGAAUUUUCUAGGGAGGAUAUUGUGGCUGAAAUUGAUGAUAUUUCAUGAUAUUUUGGUGAUAUUUGAUGUUUGGUGAGGCUAGAAAUUAAAUGGGAAAUUUUGGUGUGAAAAUUUGAAUUUUUGCUUAACGUAUAGACAUGUGUGAUUAUUGACCCGAGACUGAUAAAUUGAAUCUCAUUCAUAGUCACUAAGGUAAUUUAGGUAUAAUUGGAGUGUAGAAAGUAAGAAGAAUUGAUUUGGAGUUAAAUUGAAGAUUUUAGCCGAUUAGACCGAGUAUAGUGUGACUUAGGUCGAAUAUCACAUUUAAGUGAUUAAUCGGACAUUUUGCAUCCCAUUGCAUGCAUUCUUUUAGAUUUAGAGAGCUUGAAAUAGUUUAUGAUAAAUUGACACAGUUUAUUGAAAUUCGUGUCACGUAUGAUGUAUAGGUGGUGAGCCCUCUAACAAGGGUAAAGAGUUGUGCCCGAAGAUCGAGAAUAGGAGUAUAUCGAACUCCUAGUAUAGUGAGUAACCUUACUAUCGUCUUAAUUAUCUAGAGUGGUUUUUAUUCGAUUUUGUGGAUUUUAUGGAAAAUGAGUUUAAAUGGUAAAUCUUUUUGUUUUACAAACAAAACGUGUUUAAAUAAAAUGAUUUUAUAAAUUGUCUUGAAAUUGAAUAAUGACUUUGAAAAUAGAGUAACUGGAGACCACUUGAGGUGUUGUAAAUUCAUGGUUUGAAUUGACUGGCUUAUGACAAUAUUUGCAUGAAUGGCUGAAUUGGUAUUUAUGUUGAAAUAUAUGAACUGUGUAUUUAGCCUUGAAAGGCUGUGAAUUACAAUAAUUGCCAUAUCAUGUUAUUGAAUUUUAUUGAUUGGUGGGAUAAUAAUGAGCUUACUGCAGUGGGCAGGUUUCCGUGGACCAGCCUAUUAGAGGGGCACUGUAAACCUCGUUAUAUCUUACCUCAGUAUGAGAGGCGCGAGUGGAUAACUCCUGAGGCUAACACUUUUAGAGUUCACUUCACGCCAAACCGCCAAGUGAGGGUGAACUCAGCCAACGCCAAGGAACGACUAUGUUUUCAAAAUAAAAACAGAAUUUAUGCAUACAUGACUUUUUAAUAGCCUUGGCGAACUCGGUUGGGAUAGCCCUCAAUCAAGGCAUCCCUAAUAACUGAGUAUGAGAAUGAUUUUUGGCACGAGCCAAGCUUUUCAGGAAAUCAUAAGCCUAGUUGUUUAUUUUGUUGAAAUAAGUUGAAAGGUAAUGAAAUUAGAGUAUGAUGAUUUAUUUUAAUUAUCUCCAUUUACUCGGGUUUAGAUAUUUUAGAUGGUAUUUGUUUACUCACUGGGAUUAUAUAAUCUCACCACCCUCAUUUCCAUACAUUUCAGGCUCAGGAUAGUGUAUAGAUAGCUGAUAUCGUCAAAGGCUAUAGUCGGCUUUACUACUCCAAAAACUGUAGGUUUACUGCCUUUGUGCACUUUUGUUCCUUGUGGGCCCACGAGUCACUGUAAAGUAAAUUUCAUAUCUCGGUUAUCUGUAUUGUAGGACGUAUGAAUUUAUUUAGCUUUUACCUUACAAAAAAAAUUAAUUACCGAUGACUAUAAAUAUUGUUUUACAAGAAAUUAGAAUAUUUUAUUGAAUAUUUUUAUUUUAUUCAAAUAGUUGCAAUAUCAUUUUCAAUAAAUGUUUUAGACACUCAAAUUUAUUUUAAAUCAUGAAAUAUGUGUUUUCCACUCAUCUACUACAUUUUUAGUCAGGUUCGAAAAGUUUUGAGAAAAAAUGACGAAAACGCUCUUGUGAGGUGAAAAUUAUUUUUUAACGGUUUUGAAAAGGAAAAAGCUUAAAUGUCAAACCCUGUUCUAUAAAAUAAUUACGACGUCAUUUACAUGCUUAAUAGAAUGUUUGCCUGUUUAGGAAGUUUGAGGAAUCGUUAAAAGACGAUAUUGCCCCUAAUGGUACCAUUAAGUCGAUUAAGCCUCGAACUAGUUCAAAUAGGAAUUUUGAGGUGAAAUUAAGAGUUUCACAGUUCAGGGAUGACUCAAAAUGGUAAUUCGGAGUUCGAGGAUCAAUUUGGAGUCAAACCAAAAUUUUCACUAUCUAGGGGUAAAAUGGUCAUUUGCCACUAGGGGACAAAAUGAGAAUUUUGAGAAAAGAUUUUUUUUUAGGCCCCAUUUAACUUAUUGGAGUAUGAUUUAAGUAUUGGAGUAUAAUUGGCGGAUUUGGCAGUGAAAAAGUUUAAUUCCGGUGAUUUCUGGAGUGUAGGGGCAAAAUUGUAAUUUUUCCAUCCAUGGACAAAAUUUGAGAUUUUGAGAGAAUUUAGAUCAAAUUUGACAAAUUGGAGAAUGGUAUGAGUAUAAGGGAUGAAAAUAUGUCUAUGGGCAAGUUUUUAGUUUUUGGGGUAAAAAUGUAAUUUUUGACUUUUAUGGGGGCAAAAGUGUAAAUUUCAAAAAUUAUUCCACCAAGACUUUGGAUAAGUCUGAGAAUUUUAUCUAAGCUAUGGAUAUGUGGGACAAGCGUAUGGUGAAAAUUUGGAAAUAAAUGGAUAGCUAGAAUUUAAGGAAUUAAUAAAACAAAAAAAAUGAAUAAAAUAAUAUUAUAUUAUUUUAGCCUUUAAAAAUGUCAAAAUUCCGGAAUUCUCAUCUUCUUCAGUUGUCCAAACCAGGAGAGAAAAAGGGGGAAAAGAAAUAAGAACCCUAGCUGAAACAAUUUGGGGAAAAUCAAGAGAAAUCAAGAAAUCAAGCAUUAAAAAGGUAAAUUUCAUCGAUUUUCCUUGUGAUUUUCACUACCCAUGCAUUUUUCUCUCAUUUUCAUGCAAAAUUAGAAAGUGGGUAUGGACACCCAUGCUGGCCAAACCUCCAUGGAUGAGUUUUGAACUUGAGUUUUGGUUGAUUUUAAUUGAAUUAAGCGAUUUUAGUUAGGUUAUAUUGAAAUAUAGCAAAAAUAAGCUAGAGAAAUAAUUUUUUCCCAUUGAAACCUAUUAUGCCGAAUUUUCUAGGAGAAUAUUGGCUGCUGAUCUUGAUGUUUAUUUGAGGAAUUAUGAUGAAUAAUGAUGAAUUAUGAGCCUAGAAAAAUAAUGGGAAUUUUUUGAGCAAAAAUACGAAUUUUUACCCAUUAGGGGUAUUUUUGUAAUUUGCUACCGGGACUGAUAAUUUGCACCACAUUGAGGAACAUUAAGUCAAUUUGGGUGCAAUCGAGGUAUAGAAACUGAAAAAAAUUAAUUUCGAGUUUAAACGGACGCGUAUAUCGAUUUAUCAAAUAAAAGACCGAAAUAGGCUAACAUCUUGUUUAGGCAAAAUUUAGACAUUUUGCACUUCAUAUCAUGCAUUAGUAGUAUAAAUUAGUUUAUUUUGGUUUAGUACCAAAUUAGUAAACCUCUUAAUUGUGCAAUUUGUCAAGGUGGCGAAUCCUCUAACAAGGGCAAAGAAAUCGCACUCAAGGAGUAAUAGUUGGAGUACCCGAAUUUAGUUUUCAGAAACUGUGAGUAAACUUAUUAUUAUCUUAAUCAUCUAAAGUAGUUUUAUACAAUUGUGUGAUUUUAUGGAAAAUGGGUUUAAAUGGUAAAUUGCUAUGUUUUAAGAGAAAUUGUGAUUUUAUAAAAUGAUUUUAUAAAUUUUCUGGAAAAUCGAAUGCUGGUUUUGAAAAUAGAGUAAUUGGAGACUGCCUGCUUGUGUUGUAAAUUUAUGGUUUUAAAUUGAAUGGCUUAUGACAAUAAAUGAGCAAGAAUGGCUAAACUGAUUUUGGUGUUAGAAUUAUUUGUACUGUGUAUUUAGCCUUGAGAGGCUAGGUUGCGAUAAAUUGCCAUGUCAUUCAGAAAAAGAUUUCAUAAAUCAGGUGGUAGAUAAAAGAUUAGCUACUGCAGUGGUGGGGGGUUCCGUGGGCCAGCCUAUUAGAGGGGCACGGUAAACUCCUUUAUAUUCUCACAUCAGUCGUAGAGGCAUGUAGGGUAUCUCUUGAGGUGGGCUUUUUGAGUGCACUUCACGUGGACUACCGCGUGAGAGUGAGACUCAGCCAACGCCAAGGAACGGCUAUGUUUCAAAAUAAAAAUAUGAUUUAUGCGAAAUAUGAAUUUUAACAGCCUUGGCGGACUCGGUUGGAUACCCUUGGUCCAGGUGUCCCCGAGUACAGGAUUUGGCAUGAGCCAAGUUUUGAGUAAUUCACGAGCCAUAUUGAUUAUUUGGUUGAAAUGAAUAUUCGUGAUGUGAAAAAUUUGCUGAAAUGAAUUAUUUUUAAUUGUCUCCCUUUACUCGCCUUUAGAUAGUUUAGAUGGUGUUUGUUUACUCACUAGGAUUUUAUAAUCUCACCACCCUCAAUUCCCCACAUUUCAGGUUCGGGAUAGCCGGUAGAUAGCCGAUUGCAUCAAGGACUUCAGUUAGCCUUGAAUUGUCAAAAUUAUAGGUUCACAGACUCGCAUCUUAUUGGUUAGUUGGGGGCCCACGUGUCAUUGUAAAAGUAAUUUGAUACUUUAGUUAUUUGAUUUAAAAUAUGUAUGAACAUAUUUAGCUUUUACAUCGUGUUUUUGGCGGGUUUCGGUAUUUUCGAAGAAAAAUGACGAAAAUGCCCCUGUGAACCAAAAAAUAAUAUUUUAUUAUUUUAAUUUGGAAACGACUUAUGAUUUCUUGAAAUGCAAGAUUUAAUAACUGUCGCUCACUGAGCAGAUGCGGAAGCUGAUGCUAAGCCUUGCGGGGUUCCGAUCGGCAUUCGGGGUAAUGAGUGCCUAUCGGGACGUCGCAGCGAUUGUCACGGGCCCGAUGGGAGUUCCGAGUCAUGACAUUAAAAUUCUUUAAAAACGAGGUUUGGCAAUGAUUACUCACAAGGGAGAUGAGAAAAAUGGUACUAAAGCCUUGCGGGGUUCCGGUUGGCACUCUGAGUAACGAAUGUCUAUCGGGACAUCGAGGCGGUUGUCACGGGCUCGAGGGGAGUACCAGGUCAUGACAUUACAUGUUUCCAUAAUCUUAUCCUCAAAUGUUGAUGGAUAAUUAUAUUUAACUUGUACUACUAAUGCUUUAUUUUACUAUCAAUGUCUCUUUUCAUUAAUCAUACACUUUACUUUUUUUUUCUUUUUUGAUAUAACAAAAAGAGGGAGAAAUCUAGUUCUAUAGUGUAAUAGUUGAGUUUCCAAGGCUUAUACUCGAGUUUAUCUUCUUGUAGUCAAAUUAUUCUCCUUCUCUAGUUGAUUCUCACACCAAAUAUCUUUUCAUGCCACCACCAAAACAAUGUACGCUCAUUGCUCAAAAAGGUUAGGGAAGCUCUUCAAACAUGACUCGGUUUCAACCACUAAAUUUUCUCACCAACGAGGACUAUGAAUGCUACAAGAAAUCUUUCACCUCAAAGAUUGCCAAUCACAAUCGAGUAAUAUAUAUUAAAUUUCUUGAAGAAUUUGGUUUCUUGUACAUUGAAAAUUUUAGAGUCUUAGGGUGGUAUAAUUAUUUGAGCUUCAACAUUCUUAUAUAUGAAAAGUUAGUCUAAGUUUUCUACAAUAAUGGAAAUGUAACCUAUAAGGAUGAGAGUAAUGCACUACAUACCUAUGAAAAGGCUUUCAUCACUUAUAUCAUGGGUAGAUUAUUUAAGAUAUUCUUUUAGAUGAUUAAAGAGGUCUUUGAGCUUAAUUAUGCACCUGAUGCGUUGACCAGCAUUAGUGAUAAUUUAGUGAUACAAGAUUUAAAAUGAGAACUAUAUGUGAACAAUAUCAGUGCUCCUAACUCAGUUACUAGGCUAUCCAUGAUGGAUAGAAUACUGCACUUAAUAGUUAGCUAGACCUUAAGACUUGUACCUAGUAAACAUUCAUCGAUGAUUGGAGAAGACUUGUGGUUUUUGCAUCACAUCAAGGCACAAACUCCAAUUGAUCUUGCUAGCUUCAUCUUUGUUGACAUGAACAAAAUUGUUGUUGGUACCAGAACAAGCCUCAUGUAUGGUCACGUCAUCACACGUUUGCUAUAGAAAUUUCACAUCAAUAUGUCCAUGGAUGAUGCAGUCUCAUAACCCAAGAUCAAACAUCUUGAUAGAGCAACCAUGUCUAGGAUGGGUUAUAAUGAGAAUGCUGAGACUGGCACUUGGGUUCAUAAAAGGAUGCACCAAAGAGAAGCUGGUUGUCACGACCCGGUACUCCCCUCGAGCCCGUGACAACCGCCGCGGUGUCCCGGUAGACACUUAUUGCCCGAAAUGUCAACCCGAAACCCCGUAAGGCUUUACUAUCAGUUUCUUUGUUCCCUUGUGAGCAACCAUUGUCAAAUAUCGUGUUCUAAAAUAUUUUAAGCUGUUUCCAACUUUAAACAAAUAAAAUAUUAAUUUUUUGUCUCACAAGGGUAUUUUGGGUCAUUUUUCUCAAAAAUUUAAAAACUGGCUAAAACGUAAUAGACAAGUACAAAACACACAAUUCAUAUUCAAAAUGAGUUUAAAAGUCUAAAUCUUCAUUAAAACGAAAUUACGGUUAUUAGAAUAUAAUAAGAAAAUAAAAAAAAAAAAAAAAAAAAAAAAAAAAAAAAAAAAAAAAAAAAAAAAAAAAAAAAAAAAAAAAAAAAAAAAAAAAAAAAAAAAAAAAAAAAAAAAAAAAAAAAAAAAAAAAAAAAAAACAAUUAAAAAAAAAAAAAAGAGAAAACAAACGAGAUGUUGGGCUCAAAAACCACACACAACACCUUGAUUUAAGAAGCUGUAUAUGAACAUGAAAAGACUGGCCGACGAAAAGAAUGCCUGGAAUUACUGUACAGGCCGGAGAUCGUGCUUCAAAGUUUAAACGACUAAC